AUGUGAUUCUUGCUGGAAGGUUCAACUGACUGGUUACACAUUAACCAAACGAGCUGGGGCAUGCUGUCUCAUUAUCAAAUCUUUCUGUUCUCGUAAUUAUGGCCACUCGCUAGCAUUUAGCAUUAGUAAGUUGGUAAAUGGGUACUUGGUAUGAAUAAUAUUUGAGACUAUAGUGGUACAUAUACAGCAUAACAGGACAGGUUUUGUACACAAGGUGCCGUGGCUGAGUAUUGGAGAAGGACAAGACACAGAGUUGUUCUGGGACUAUUUGACUGUUAACGAAUACAAUUUAGCCACCAUCACCAUGGGAUGUUUGGAAUCAAAAACAGAAGGACAGACACAGAGCCCGGUGGAUUCAACAACGAAGGGUCAGCUAUUAAUCUCUUCAUACAAAGAAAACCCUUCACAGUCAGAAAUUCAGCUCAAACUAUCUCCAGAAAAAGAUAUAAAUCAAGCACGCUCACAUGAAGUGGAUGUUACUCUGGAUGUGGACACUGCUCAACCUAAGCUGAAGAUACAUGGGAACUCACUACAGUGGAUAGAUGAAUCACCACAGAGAAACAUUGACAUUGAAAACUGUUUUGAUGAAGAGCCUUUUGUGUUGGGCAAAAUGGGCAGUCCUUUGAAGACUUACUGGGAGGUGAAUGUGAAGGAGAAGGAAGACUGGGUGCUUGGCGUUGCCAAGGCAACGGCUAACAGGAAGGGGCCGUUGGCUUUCAGUCCAACUAAUGGCUUCUGGGUAAUCAGACUAUCCAAUGGGCAAAGACUUAAAGCCAUGGAGGAUGAAGAACAUGUUCUUGACAAAGGUAUUCCAGAUAAAGUCGGUAUCUAUCUAGAUUAUCAGGAAAGGAAGGUGACUUUCUUUAAUGCAGAAGAAGAUUCACUCAUCUACUCAUUUAUCAAUGGACCAAGUUAUCAGGAUGAUGUCCUGCCACUUUUCUCACCCUGGAACAAUGAUGCAAAACCAAUCACAAUUUUGCCCAUCACAGCAACAUAGAAAAACAUAAAUGAUCGCAAUCCCUGUCUGUCAAUAGCUUGUCGUGGUUUAAAGCUAUGCGAAACAUUUUUUAUUAAGUAAUAUCCAGAAUUGUGGAUUACUUUCUAUGUUCAUUUGCUGUCAUCUAACCAGGUAUCAACGUUGUGUCCAUAUUUUUCGUUAAUAUAUUAAUGCUCUGUCUUUCCGACUUGAAGAUUACUGACAUCAUGAUUUGACCUCGUAUUUGUCUGAGUUCCCUGUUGUCGUGAAAGCACUAUAAAACUCAUGGUACCCUUCGCCAGGCCAUAUCUGUGUGAAGCUUGACUCAAUGCUCUCAUCUGCAUUAAAACCAAAUAUCGAUCCAGGUUGGAUGUGACAGCAGAGAUGAGUUGCGCACUGUCGACAUCCCCCCCUGACUUUGAGAAGCUCCAACACAACAUGCAUAAAGCACAACCAUCUCAUUAGUGCUGGUGAGAAAAGAUACACCAUGUCCAGUGGCGACCCUUCGUUCAGGGCAGGUGGGGCAGAAGCCACGACAGGUGAUCCACCACCUAUUUUUGGGGGGCCUGUUUUGCAUGUUAUUUUAAUACAGGUAACAUAUCAGUUUGCAAACAAUGUAUGUUGUGUUAGUAAGCUGUUAGUAGCCCAUGUGCUUCACCAUAAUAAUUUGCUCCCUUUUCCCCUCGUAACUUAGCCUACUGUUCUGACUUGGUGGUGCACAUUCAGCCUAUAGUCUGUUUUAGAGAAAUGUUACCAUCAAAUAUUGUAAGAGCUUUCAUUGUCUGCUUAUAGACCACACUUAUGACUUGGUGUACAGGGAGAACACUGUAAGAACGGCCCAUGUUCUCAAUUCUGUCGCAGUACAUUUCAAAAGUGCUGAACAAAUAGUUAUAUUGACUACGUCAGUCCUAGCUCGCUCAUUAAUGUCUUAAUCAAUGUUAUGGAUUGCCUCUUAUCCGCUCAUUGUCCCCUUAUGCAAUAGUUUGUACAUCUCAAUUGCAAGAAGACACCACAUCUGUUUAGCAAGUUAGCCAUAUCAGCUAUGCUUUUUUUAAAGGCAGGAAAUGAGGCUGAAUGAACUGUUUCGAUGCCAGACAAGGCUCCGCUGAUAGCCAGGUGUAGCAGUGGUAAGGUGUUGGGACAGCUGUUGGGACUCUGCUGUUGGGACAGCUUUAUGUAGGCCCUACCAGUUUGUGAGCACGGUUUGUCACCGUUAUAUUGCAAUUCAUGUUUUGUUUAUUGUUGUGUUGUGUAGUGGCUUUUCUGGCAUGCAUAAAUCAAAAGUAAAAAAAUGCCACACCAAUAUUUACAUGCUAAAAUUGCCACUGAUCAUGUCAGUCUAAUUUGCAAUUCACUGUCAUAGCCCCACAUUACAAAUAUGUGAAAAUCAGAAAUCAGAAAUACUUUUAGAAUGUUUUUCAAUUGACUGCCACAGCACCAAACAAAAAAAGUAUGAAUGGCAUUUAAAAAAAACACAUUUUUGGGGUUAAUUUGAAUUGUUUUAGGCGAUCAUUUUCAAAUAUCAAAAUGAGUUCGUGGGACAAAAAAGUUUGCGGAUCACUGGCAUAGAGUAUAUAUUUGGCUUGCAGUAACUAAACUGGCCAGGGGGAGGGGCAGCUUUCCUAUUAAAGUACUGUAAUGAGGAAGCCAAUAAGAUACAGAUGUCUUGAUGAAACCUGGACCCUCCCAGUUUCCCUACGUGAUUCUUGCUGGAAGGUUCAACUGACUGCUUACACAUUAACCAAAGGAGCUGGGGUAUGCUGUCUCAUUAUCAAAUAUUUAUGUUUUCAAAAUUAUGGCUACUCAAUAGCCUUUAGCAUUAGCAAUUUGGUAAAUGGGAAGUUGGAAUGAAUAAUAUUUGAGACUAUAGGUGGUACAUAUACAACAAAACAGGCCAUUCAUAUAUACACAAGGUGCCGUGGUUCAGUAUUGGAGAAGGACAAGACACAGCGUUGUUCUGGGACUAUUUGGCUGUUAGCUAUUACCAUUUAGCCACCAUCACCAUGGGAUGUUGUGGCUCAAAACCAGAAGAACAGAGUAAGUUUGUUUUCUUGUCCUUGCCAUAAAAAUAUUGAUAUUUGUCUUUCAAAAGAAGAAAAUGUAUUAUUCAAUUACAUGUUACCUUAUACCGGAGAGAGCACAGUGGAUUCAACAAAGAAGGGUUAUGACUCAACUGCAGAGCAAGAAAACCCUUUACAGACAGAUACUCAUGUCAAACUAUCUCCUAAGAAAGAUAUAAAUCAAGCACGCUCACAUGAAGUGGAUGUUACUCUGGAUGUGGACACUGCUCACCCUAAGCUGAAGAUACAUGGGAACUCACUACAGUGGAUAGAUGAAUCACCACAGAGAAACAUUGACAUUGAAAACUGUUUUGAUGAAGAGCCUUUUGUGUUGGGCAAAAUGGGCAGUCCUUUGAAGACUUACUGGGAGGUGAAUGUGAAGGAGAAGGAUGACUGGGUGAUUGGCGUUGCCAAGGAAACAGCUAACAGGAAGGGGCCGUUGGCUUUCAGUCCAACUAAUGGAUUCUGGGUAAUCAGACUAUCCAAUGGGCAAAGACUUAAAGCCAUGGAGGAUGAAGAACACGUUCUUGACAAAGGUAUUCCAGAUAAAGUUGGUAUCUAUCUAGAUUAUCAGGAAAGGAAGGUGACUUUCUACAAUGCAGAAGACAGCUCACUCAUCUAUUCAUUCACCAAAGGACCAAGUUAUCAGGAUGAUGUCCGCCCACUUUUCUCACCCUGGAACAACGAUGCAAAACCAAUCACAAUUUUGCCCUUCAAGGCAAAAUAGAAAAACAUAAUUCAUCACAUUUAUUUUAUUUUACUAGGCAAGUCAGUUAAGAACAAAUUCUUAUUUUCAAUGACGGCCUAGGAACAGUGGGUUAACUGCCUGUUCAGGGGCAGAACGACAGAUUUGUACCUUGUCAGCUCGGGGAUUUGAACUUGCAACCUUUCCGGUUACUAGUCCAACGCUCUAACCACUAGGCUACCCUGCCGCCUCUACACUCUACCCACUAGGCUACCCUGCCGCCUCUACACUCUAACCACUAGGCCACCCUGCCGCCUCUACACUCUGACCACUAGGCUACCCUGCCACCUCUACACUCUAACCACUAGGCUACCCUGCCGCCCCUGUUGACAUACCCUGUAUGUCAAUAGCUUAUUCUGGUAUAUGUGGCUAUGUGAAUAAUUUUCGAUUAAGUAAUAUACAGAAUUGUGGAUUCAUUCUCAUCCUUUGCUGUCAUCUAACCAGGCAUCAAUGUUGUGUUCCCUAUUCUUUAAUAUAUUAGACAUUCAUUAUUUCAGUAGGGUAUUAUUGUGUGUGACAUUAAACAUGCAUUUUUGUUUUAAAACAUGUUGAUUUGUGAAAAAUACAAGUUCUUAUUUGGUA